AUUGAACGCUGGCGGCAGGCCUAACACAUGCAAGUCGAGCGGAUGACGGGAGCUUGCUCCUUGAUUCAGCGGCGGACGGGUGAGUAAUGUCUAGGAAUCUGCCUGGUAGUGGGGGACAACGUUUCGAAAGGAACGCUAAUACCGCACACGUCCUACGGGAGAAAGCAGGGGACCUUCGGGCCUUGCGCUAUCAGAUGAGCCUAGGUGGGAUUAGCUAGUUGGUGGGGUAACGGCUCACCAAGGCGACGAUCCGUAACUGGUCUGAGAGGAUGAUCAGUCACACUGGAACUGAGACACGGUCCAGACUCCUACGGGAGGCAGCAGUGGGGAAUAUUGGACAAUGGGCGAAAGCCUGAUCCAGCCAUGCCGCGUGUGUGAAGAAGGUCUUCGGAUUGCAAAGCACUUUAAGUUGGGAGGAAGGGCAGUAAGUUAAUACCUUGCUGUUUUGACGUUACCGACAGAAUAAGCACCGGCUAACUCUGUGCCAGCCGCCGCGGUAA
rnacentral:rRNA from 1 species